rnacentral:lncRNA from 1 species
GGGUAGGGAUAGAGGAGAAUGGAAAAGAGAAGAAAAAAGGCAAAGGCAUAGCUAACUAUUGAAACUGAGCCAAUAAAGAAAUUUCAAAAUUAACCUUUUCCCUAAAAGAGAUAUUUUUAGGCAUAAACUUUUGAUUCUUCUCUCUCUUGGUUAUUGAUAAUUUGACUUAUUCCUUUAUUUCAUUUUAUAUACUAAAGAGCAACUUAAACAAAGAAAACUCUGUUCCAUUUUUCCUAAAAUCAACAGUAGCAAGAAUCGCUUUUGUUUGAACAUGUCUUUCAAACUUAAUCAUUAAUAUUCUCGAUGACACAACUUCACCUCAAAUUGAAAUGUCAAUGAUACUUCUAAUCAAACUAUUAUUUAUUUGAUUUUUCAAUAUAUAAGGCUAUUACUUCAAUUCUAUAGGUAAAAUUCUUAAGAAAUUCCUUUGGAUUGAAAAAUAUUCUUAGUAAAGACAGUCUUUGUCAUUACAAAGAGCCAUACAUAAAAUAAUAUUUUCAUAUAUAUAUAUCUUUAAUAAUACAAUUUGUUGUGGAUAAAUUUGAAGAUAGUAUUGAUACUACUUAUAAACAAGGUUUGGCUAAUAAUUAGAGUACCAAGGAAUAAUACAAUUUUAGUUCAAAUAAUUUUGUUCAAAAUAAUAAAUUUUCCAGGAAGCAUUUCAGGAAAUCAAUUAAUUAAAAAACCAUAAAUUUGCCAAAAUAAUGCCAUUCUCAUCUGGGAAUGCAUGUUCAUUGGGGCAUUUUAUUUUCUUUUAGAAAGCAAAAAUAAAACACUUUCUGAAUUUCUCCUAUGCUAUUUCACAAAACAGUUUUUUACUGAAUAUUGAUAGCAAUAAUGACAGUAUUGCCUAGGACUGCAAGUACGCUGCUUUUGGUGCUGGCUUGAUGUGCUCAGUUCUAUUUUUCCAUCUUUUCCUGAAGAACAAUACACAUCAUCUCCUUGGCCAGGCAGUGGUGACUCCUUUGAUCCCAGAACUUGGGAAGGAGACACAUGUAGAUUUCUGACUUCAACUUGGUCUGCAGAGUGAGUUCCAGGACAAUCAGGACUAAACAAAGAAACCAUGUCUCAAAAAGCCAAAUACACACACACACACACACACACACACACACACACACACACACACACGCACACCAUUUAUAUAUACAUAUAUGCUCACUUAUAUAUACAUAUAUGCUAUAUAUUAUAAAUGUAUGUAUUUAAUACAUACAUUUAUAAUAUAAUACAUAUAAAUACAUAUAAAUGUAUGUAUUUAAAGAAUAUGUAUAUAUGUUAUUUAUUUUACACACACACACACACACACACACACAUACACACUUCCCCUUAGUAUCUUCCUAUUUAAAGAGCUGCUAACUUUCUGUAAAUAUAACUUAUAGCAGGGAAGUCCAAGGAAGGCCUUCUGCUUCUGUUAAACUAGAAACUCAUUUGUCUAUGAGUUUAAGGAGGUAAUUUGACAGAAGAGGAUGGGGAAGAGGAUGAGUCCUUUAGAGUCUUAAACAACUUCACAGCUUUCUCUUCUUCCCAACUGGAGGUGGAGUU